CCAAUUCCUUUAAUUCUUUUUUAUGGAUAUCAACACAAUAAUGACAACCGUUAAUUUUAGAAAUUAAUAACUUAAUCAAUGCACUAAGUUCAUCAUUAACGGGUGAUUGAUGAAUAAACUUUUCACCUUGGCUCAUUACAGACAUUAACUCUCCAUUUUGUUUCUUGUAAUUAUACGGCAUUUGCAAUCUCUCCUUUACAUUGUUUAAUACCAAUCCAGUGAUACUACACUUCGAACAAUAUUGGAUAGAAUUUGAAAUUCUGUAUAACAUCUUGUCAAUCUAUGCUUUAGUUAAAACAUUUAGCGCUUAUAUUUAAAAAAUAUAUAAAAUAUGAAAACAGAUUGAAAGGAUAUUAUACCUUGCUCUACCCUUUUUUAUAAAAAAUCACACACAUUUGAGAAAAUUUGAUAAUGUCAAUAAAUCACGCCAUCGCCAUUGUUAUUAGGUAUAUAUUGUUCUUAUAAUGGCCAAACUAUUAUUCCAUUUACAUUAAUGGGGUUCGCUUGUGUUAAUGUACUGUAAAAAACUGGGGAAGUAUUGGUGAUGAUGAAGUGAUUUAUAUUAAUUGCGAAACACCUUCGAUAGCAAACGAUAUUAAACAUGUACAAAUCAAGCUAAAUAUUACGUGAAAAUCACUGUUUAGUGUUUUUCUUUUUGUUUAUUUCUUCUUUAAUUUUUUCAGGAGAUUUUAAAUUUUCAGCGUUCUUUAAUUUUCCUAAGACUUCAUUACUUCCUGUCAAUCCUCCAGUGAAUUGAUAGUUUUCUUCAGGUGACCCAUAUGCAACAAAAUCAGCUUCUUUAUUUUCAUUGAUGUAACCUUCAAUUACUGCAUCGCCCAUAGGUCCUCUUUUUAAACUUGUGAAAUGUACAGAUUUGAUGGUAUUGGGUUCUUUGGUAUUAUGCUUGAGAUAAAGUGUAAUGCGCUCUUGUUGUCCUUUGUAAUAAAUUUCUUUUUGUUUUUCUUUUUCGUCAUAUUUCAUUUUUAAAUAAAUGACGGAUGCAACUAUACAUAUACAUAAAAUGACACCAAUAAUUAUAAAACCAUGUUUUUUGGACAUUAAAGCAACUCCUAACUUUAGUAACUCUUCUUUUUAUUUAGUUCUUUUUUUAUACCAUCUGGUGAUUUUAAUUGAUGCGCUGGUUUUAGUAACUCACUUAAUCUUUCACUUUUAAUUAAAUCACCUACAAAUUGAAAGUUAUUUUCAGGUGAUGCAUAGGCAACAAAAUCAUCUUUUUUGUUUUCAUUUAUGUAACCUUCAAUCACAGCACUUCCCAUAGGACUUGUUUCCAAUUUUGUGAAAUGCACAGAUUUAAUCGUGUUCGGUUCUUUAGUGUUAUGCUUGAGAUAAAGUGUAAUGCGCGCUUGUUGUUCUUUAUAGUAUAUUGAUUUUUGUUUUUCUUUUUCGUCAUAUUUCAUUUUAAAAUAGAUACUUGCAACACUAAUUAAUAUGAUUAACAUAAUACUAGUUAAUAUUAAAAUUUUCUUUUUCGACAUCUAUCACCAGCUCCUAAAAUGUGGUGGGAUUUUAUACAGUUUACAUAUUUAUGAUACUACAAAACACACUCUUACAAAGAAAAUCUAUAAUUUUAAUCUAGGUCAAGGAAAAGCAGCCAAAAGUGUUCAUUUAAGAUCAUCGGAAUAUUGCGGUUAUGAAGUGGUUAACAGAUAAAUACAGUGAAAAUUGUACUAAAAAUUCAACUUUUCAUUUUUAUGUGUAAGUAUGAUUAACUUGAAAGCAAAAUUAAAACGACCGCAUUGUUUUAGCGGUCGUUCUUUUUAGAAUCUAGUUCUUUUUUUAUAUCAUCAGGCGUUUUGGUUUGAUGUGCUGGUUUUAAUAAUGUGCUUAAAUUUUUACUUUUGAUUAAACUUCCACCAAAUUGAUAAUUAUGUUCUGGAGACCCAUAUGCAACAAAAUUAUCUUCUUUAUUUUCAUUGAUGUAACCUUCAAUUACGGCAUCGCCCAUAGGUCCUGUCUUUAAACUUGUGAAAUGCACAGAUUUGAUCGUGUUCGGUUCUUUAGUGUUAUGCUUGAGAUAGAGUGUAAUACGCUCUUGUUGUUCUUUAUAAUAAAUUGAUUUUUGCUUUUCUUUUUCGUCAUAUUUCACUUUUAAAUAAAUGACUGUAGCAACUAUACAUAUACAUAAAAUAACACCAAUAAUUAUAAAAACAUGUUUUUUGGUCAUUAAAGCAACUCCUAGAAUAUGGUAGGAAAUGAAAAAGUUUUUAUAGUUCUGUAAUUAUGAACAUUAUAGAUUAUAAAUCAUAACACUAAUAUAGUCGCCUUCACUCACUUGAUUGUUAAAAUCACCAAUUACUGAGAAUUGUACAAGGAAUAAUUGUCUAUCAUGCCCUUAUAUCAUUAUUGCCUUACUAAUAUUAACAAAACCGAUAGCUAUUACAUUAAAUGCCUAUAUCCCAGACCUCAAACACCUUUUUAUACAGGACGCACUGUAAUUUCAUUCACGUUAACGUGCUUUGGUUGUGUUAAUGCAUAUAAUACUGCUUCUGCAAUAUCUUGUGGUUCAAGUUUUUUACGAUCUGUUGGAUUGUAUGCGGCAGUUAUUGCUGUAUCUACCAUUCCUGGAGAAAUGCUUGUUACUUUAACACCUGUCUUUGCCAACUCUUUUUCUAAUCCUUGAGUAAUAGUGUGAACUGCUGCUUUCGUCGCACUAUAAAUCGUACUGCUUUUCGUUACUUCAAAGCCAGAAAUAGAUGCAAUGUUAAUAAGAUGACCACUUGAUUGUUCUAACAUAGUUGGUAAUGCAGCCUGUGCCGUAUAUAAAGUGCCUUUGAUAUUCACAUCAAUCAUACUAUCCCACUCAUCUACUUGAUAAUCAGUAAUCUUAGACGAUAACAUUUGUCCCGCACUAUUGAUAACAAUAUCCAAACCACCGAAUGUUUGUUGUGCAAUUUUUAUCAAUUCAUCGACUUCUUCUUUUUUCGUUACAUCUGUUGGCACUACCUUCACACUAUCUUGAGCUAAUUGAUUCGCCACAUUUUGUAGUUUAUCUUUAUUUCUACCGGCUAAGAUGACUUUCACACCCUCUUCAUGUAGUAAUGUUGCAAUUGCUUCUCCAAUACCACUACCUGCACCUGUAACUACUGCUACUUUAUCUGUUAAUACUGUCAUAAUGAUCGACUCCUUUGAUUCUUUUUAUUUUUUCAGGGUAAAUCAUAAAUACAUAUUACUUUUAAAAAGCGUAUCACAAUUCAUAUAACGGUCAUAAUAACUCGCUUCAUUUUCAUAGAUAAAUUACAUUACAAGCCAUUCUAAAUAUACAAUUAAUCGUUGCUUAUAUUUUUUAUUUUUAAAAAUGUUGAAAAAUCGUCACUUCUUUAUUGUAAAAACAUUAUAUUAGUACUAAAGUUAAUACUGUGAUUUAUCAUUCGAUUGAAUGAUUAGAGGGAGGAAUAAAACGUGACAUAUCAUGAGCGUGUUUUAGCAUUAAGAGCAGAAAGUAAAAGAACCGCAUUUGAUUUUCGAUUCGAAGAUUUAUUUAGCAAAGAAGAAUGGCUAAGUAUGUCGCUUGCAGAAAGACAAAAAGCUGAAAAAGCAUUUCGACACGAAGUUAAAAAUAUGGACGAUGUAAGAAUGCCCUUCUCAAGUGUCCAUGACGCCCAAGUAAAAUUAUAUAAUGUUGUAUAUUCUUAUAACGGCAUUAAACGUAAUUUUAAACAAGUUGAAAAUGAAGGAUUCUAAUAUCAUUUCGUUUAUAUAUAGCAGACAUGAUAGAAUUUUAUAUGUAAAUCUUGUAGGUUGUAAAUGUCAAUAUAAAAAUGUACAUAAAUGAUUGUAUAAGAAUGUACAAAAUUGUUUGCUAAGUAAUUUCCUUCUUAGGUGAAUGAUCUUUUAAUCUAUACGAUUUGCCUUUGAUUUUAACUACACUUGAAUGAUGCAAUAUCCUAUCCAAAAUCGCAUUUGCGAUUUUUGGAUCAUCAAAUAUUUCAUUCCAUAAGUUGAAAUUGAUAUUUGUGGUAAAUAUUGUACUUUUCUUCUCAUAUCUUAAAUCUAUUAAUUGAAAGAAUAGUUUGGCAUCUUCACUUCCAAUAGGUAAGUACCCAAUCUCAUCUAUGAUUAAUAACUUAUACUUGCUAUAGUGCUUCAAUCUAUUUUCUAAUCUGUUCUCAAGUUUUGCUUUUCUUAAAUUCUCUAUCAAAUGAUGACAUUUAAUAAAGUAAGUACUCACUCUAUUUUUAGCUGCAGCCAUACCAAUGCCUGUAGCUAAAUGUGUUUUGCCAACGCCACUUGAGCCUAAAAAGACAAUGUUUUGAUAUUUUUCUAUAAAACGCAAAUCUGUAAAAUCCCAAAUUUCUUGUUGAUUGAUGCUCGNUGGUUAGCUUCUGCGAAGCUACGAAUCGAAGCCCCAGUAAACGGCGGCCGUAACUAUAACGGUCCUAAGGUAGCGAAAUUCCUUGUCGGGUAAGUUCCGACCCGCACGAAAGGCGUAACGAUUUGGGCACUGUCUCAACGAGAGACUCGGUGAAAUCAUAGUACCUGUGAAGAUGCAGGUUACCCGCGACAGGACGGAAAGACCCCGUGGAGCUUUACUGUAGCCUGAUAUUGAAAUUCGGCACAGCUUGUACAGGAUAGGUAGGAGCCUUUGAAACGUGAGCGCUAGCUUACGUGGAGGCGCUGGUGGGAUACUACCCUAGCUGUGUUGGCUUUCUAACCCGCACCACUUAUCGUGGUGGGAGACAGUGUCAGGCGGGCAGUUUGACUGGGGCGGUCGCCUCCUAAAAGGUAACGGAGGCGCUCAAAGGUUCCCUCAGAAUGGUUGGAAAUCAUUCAUAGAGUGUAAAGGCAUAAGGGAGCUUGACUGCGAGACCUACAAGUCGAGCAGGGUCGAAAGACGGACUUAGUGAUCCGGUGGUUCCGCAUGGAAGGGCCAUCGCUCAACGGAUAAAAGCUACCCCGGGGAUAACAGGCUUAUCUCCCCCAAGAGUUCACAUCGACGGGGAGGUUUGGCACCUCGAUGUCGGCUCAUCGCAUCCUGGGGCUGUAGUCGGUCCCAAGGGUUGGGCUGUUCGCCCAUUAAAGCGGUACGCGAGCUGGGUUCAGAACGUCGUGAGACAGUUCGGUCCCUAUCCGUCGUGGGCGUAGGAAAUUUGAGAGGAGCUGUCCUUAGUACGAGAGGACCGGGAUGGACAUACCUCUGGUGUACCAGUUGUCGUGCCAACGGCAUAGCUGGGUAGCUAUGUGUGGACGGGAUAAGUGCUGAAAGCAUCUAAGCAUGAAGCCCCCCUCAAGAUGAGAUUUCCCAACUUCGGUUAUAAGAUCCCUCAAAGAUGAUGAGGUUAAUAGGUUCGAGGUGGAAGCAUGGUGACAUGUGGAGCUGACGAAUACUAAUCGAUCGAAGACUUAAUCAA
rnacentral:rRNA from 1 species